AAAUGCGAUAAGUAAUGUGAAUUGCAGAAUUCAGUGAAUCAUCGAAUCUUUGAACGCACCUUGCGCUCCUUGGUAUUCCUUGGAGCAUGCCUGUUUGAGUAUCAUGAAAUCUUCAAAGUAAAUCUUUUGUUAACUCAAUUGGUUUCUACUUUGGUAUUGGAGGUCUUUGCAGCUUCACACCUGCUCCUCUUUGUUCAUUAGCUGGAUCUCAGUGUUAUGCUUGGUUCCACUCGGCGUGAUAAGUUAUCUAUCGCUGAGGACACUGUAAAAGGUGGCCAAGGUAAAUGCAGAUGAACCGCUUCUAAUAGUCCAUUGACUUGGACAAUACUUUUAUGAUCUGAUCUCAAAACAGGUAGGACUACCCGCUGAACUUAAGC
rnacentral:misc_RNA from 1 species